GAUGAACGCUAGCGGCAGGCUUAAUACAUGCAAGUCGAGGGACAGCACAGGUAGCAAUACUGGGUGGUAACCGGCAAACGGGUGCGGAACACGUACACAACCUUCCUUUAAGUGGGGGAUAGCCCAGAGAAAUUUGGAUUAAUACCCCGUAAUAUAGUUGAAUGGCAUCAUUUGAUUAUUAUAGCUACGGCGCUUAAUGAUGGGUGUUCGGCUGAUUAGAGAGUUGGCGGGGUAACGGCCCACCAAGUCUACGAUCAGUAGCUGAUGUGAGAGAAUGAUCAGCCACACGGGCACUGAGACACGGGCCCGACUCCUACGGGAGGCAGCAGUGGGGAAUAUUGGACAAUGGGGGGAACCCUGAUCCAGCCAUGCCGCGUGUGUGAAGAAGGCCUUAUGGUUGUAAAGCACUUUAAGCGAGGAGGAGGCUCUUUUGGUUAAUACCCAAGAUGAGUGGACGUUACUCGCAGAAUAAGCACCGGCUAACUCUGUGCCAGCAGCCGCCGUAACAC
rnacentral:rRNA from 1 species